AUUGAACGCUGGCGGCAUGCCUUACACAUGCAAGUCGAACGGUAGAGUAGCAAUACUUGAGAGUGGCGAACGGGUGAGUAAUAUAUCGGAACGUGCCCAGUCGUGGGGGAUAACGUAGCGAAAGUUACGCUAAUACCGCAUACGAUCUAAGGAUGAAAGCGGGGGAUCGCAAGACCUCGCGCGAUUGGAGCGGCCGAUAUCAGAUUAGGUAGUUGGUGAGGUAAAGGCUCACCAAGCCGACGAUCUGUAGCUGGUCUGAGAGGACGACCAGCCACACUGGGACUGAGACACGGCCCAGACUCCUACGGGAGGCAGCAGUGGGGAAUUUUUGGGACAAUGGGCGCAAGCCUGAUCCAGCAAUGCCGCGUGCAGGAUGAAGG
rnacentral:rRNA from 1 species